CGGCCGCGGUAUCCUGACCGUGCAAAGGUAGCAUAAUCACUUGUUCCUUAAUUAGGGACUAGCAUGAACGGCCAAACGAGGAUUCAACUGUCUCUUAUUUUCAANUCAGUGAAAUUGACCUUUCAGUGAAGAGGCUGAAAUACUAAAAUAAGACGAGAAGACCCUAUGGAGCUUAAAUUAAAAGUUUAAUUUUACAUCCACCAACCUAAUGGUACAACACAAAAAACUUAAACCCUAAAUUUCGGUUGGGGCGACCUCGGAGAACAAAAAAUCCUCCGAAUGAUUUUAACAUAGACCAACAAGUCAAAGUAACUUAAAAAUCUUAUUGACCCAAAAAUUUUUUGAUCAACGGACCAAGUUACCCUAGGGAUAACAGCGCAAUCCUAUUUUAGAGUCCAUAUCGACAAUAGGGUUUACGACCUCGAUGUUGGAUCAGGACAUCCCAAUGGCGCA
rnacentral:rRNA from 1 species